rnacentral:rRNA from 1 species
UACGUAGGGUGCGAGCGUUAAUCGGAUUUACUGGGCGUAAAGGGGGCGUAGGCGGCCGUGAAAGUCCGGUGUGAAAACUCACGGCUCAACCGUGGGACUGCGCUGGAAACUACACGGCUUGAGGACGGUAGAGGGAGACGGAACUGCUGGUGUAGGGGUGAAAUCCGUAGAUAUCAGCAGGAACGCCGGUGGAGAAGUCGGUCUCCUGGGCCGUUCCUGACGCUGAGGCCCGAAAGCUAGGGGAGCGAACCGG